GCCGAGGUGGUGGAAUUGGUAGACACGCUAUCUUGAGGGGGUAGUGCCUGUAUUGGCGUGCGGGUUCAAGUCCCGCUCUCGGCA
rnacentral:tRNA from 1 species